rnacentral:rRNA from 1 species
AGUAAAAGUCGUAACAAGGUCUCCGUUGGUGAACCAGCGGAGGGAUCAUUACCGAGUUUACAACUCCCAAACCCCUGUGAACAUACCACUUGUUGCCUCGGCGGAUCAGCCCGCUCCCGGUAAAACGGGACGGCCCGCCAGAGGACCCCUAAACUCUGUUUCUAUAUGUAACUUCUGAGUAAAACCAUAAAUAAAUCAAAACUUUCAACAACGGAUCUCUUGGUUCUGGCAUCGAUGAAGAACGCAGCAAAAUGCGAUAAGUAAUGUGAAUUGCAGAAUUCAGUGAAUCAUCGAAUCUUUGAACGCACAUUGCGCCCGCCAGUAUUCUGGCGGGCAUGCCUGUUCGAGCGUCAUUUCAACCCUCAAGCCCUCGGGUUUGGUGUUGGGGAUCGGCGAGCCCUUGCGGCAAGCCGGCCCCGAAAUCUAGUGGCGGUCUCGCUGCAGCCUCCAUUGCGUAGUAGUAAAACCCUCGCAACUGGAACGCGGCGCGGCCAAGCCGUUAAACCCCCAACUUCUGAAUGUUGACCUCGGAUCAGGUAGGAAUACCCGCUGAACUUAAGCAUAUCAAUAAGCGGAGGAA